rnacentral:rRNA from 1 species
CAGCAGCCGCGGGAAUACGAAGGGGGCUAGCGUUGCUCGGAAUUACUGGGCGUAAAGCGUGCGUAGGUGGUGGUUUAAGUCCGUUGUGAAAGCCCUGGGCUCAACCUGGGAAUUGCAGUGGAUACUGGGUCACUAGAGUGUGGUAGAGGAUAGUGGAAUUUCCGGUGUAGCAGUGAAAUGCGUAGAGAUCGGAAGGAACAUCUGUGGCGAAGGCGACUAUCUGGGCCAACACUGACACUGAGGCACGAAAGCGUGGGGAGCAAACAGGAUUAGAUACCCCCGUAGUCCCUGUCUCUUAUAC